UACGUAGGUGGCAAGCGUUGUCCGGAUUUACUGGGCGUAAAGAGCGCGCAGGCGGUCGUUCAAGUCGCGUGUGAAAGCCCCCGGCUCAACUGGGGAGGGUCACGCGAUACUGAUCGACUCGAAGGCAGGAGAGGGUAGUGGAAUUCCCGGUGUAGUGGUGAAAUUCGUAGAUAUUCGCAAGAACACCAGUGGCGAAGGCGGCUCACUGGCCCGGUACUGACGCUGAGGUGCGAAAGCGUGGGGAGCAAACAGG
rnacentral:rRNA from 1 species